rnacentral:rRNA from 1 species
UACGAGGGGGGCGAGCGUUGUUCGGAAUUAUUGGGCGUAAAGGGUGCGUAGGCGGUUCCGCAAGUCCUGUGUGAAAUCUUCGGGCUCAACUCGAAGUCUGCACGGGAAACUGCGGGGCUUUGAGUGUGGGAGAGGUGAGUGGAAUUCCCGGUGUAGCGGUGAAAUGCGUAGAUAUGCGGAGGAACACCGGAUGGCGAAGGCAAUCCCCUGGGCCUGCACUGACGCUCAUGCACGAAAGCGUGGGGAGCAAACAGG